rnacentral:rRNA from 1 species
GAUGAACGCUGGCGGCGUGCCUAACACAUGCAAGUCGAGCGAACCCUUCGGGGUGAGCGGCGGACGGGUGAGUAACGCGUGGGUAACCUGCCCUAUACACACGGAUAACGUACCGAAAGGUACGCUAAUACGGGAUAAUAUUGUUGGAUGGCAUCUUCUAACAAUCAAAGCUCCGGCGGUAUAGGAUGGACCCGCGUCUGAUUAGCUAGUUGGUGAGGUAAUGGCUCACCAAGGCGACGAUCAGUAGCCGACCUGAGAGGGUGAUCGGCCACACUGGAACUGCGACACGGUCCAGACUCCUACGGGAGGCAGCAGUGGGGAAUAUUGCACAAUGGGCGAAAGCCUGAUGCAGCAACGCCGCGCGAGCGAUGAAGGUCUUCGGAUCGUAAAGCUCUGUCCUCAAGGAAGAUAAUGACGGUACUUGAGGAGGAAGCCCCGGCUAACUACGUGCCAGCCGCCGCAGUAA